rnacentral:rRNA from 1 species
UAAGGAAUAUUGGACAAUGGAGGCAACUCUGAUCCAGCCAUGCCGCGUGAAGGAAGACGGCCUUAUGGGUUGUAAACUUCUUUUAUACAGGAAGAAACCUUUCCACGUGUGGAAAGUUGACGGUACUGUAAGAAUAAGGAUCGGCUAACUCCGUGCCAGCAGCCGCGGUAAUACGGAGGAUCCAAGCAUUAUCCGGAAUUAUUGGGUUUAAAGGGUCCGUAGGCGGGCGUAUAAGUCAGUGGUGAAAGUCUGUGGCUUAACCAUAGAAUUGCCAUUGAUACUGUAUGUCUUGAAUUAUUGUGAAGUGGUUAGAAUAUGUAGUGUAGCGGUGAAAUGCUUAGAGAUUACAUAGAAUACCGAUUGCGAAGGCAGAUCACUAACAAUAUAUUGACGCUGAUGGACGAAAGCGUAGGUAGCGAACAGGAUUAGAUACCCUGGUAGUCUACGCCGUAAACGAUGGAUACUAGUUGUUUGGUUUUCGGACUGAGUGACUAAGCGAAAGUGAUAAGUAUCCCACCUGGGGAGUACGUUCGCAAGAAUGAAACUCAAAGGAAUUGACGGGGGCCCGCACAAGCGGUGGAGCAUGUGGUUUAAUUCGAUGAUACGCGAGGAACCUUACC